rnacentral:rRNA from 1 species
AGAGUUUGAUCCUGGCUCAGAACGAACGCUGGCGGCGUGCCUAACACAUGCAAGUCGAACGGGGUUAACAGCAGCACUCAGCAGUUAGCAUUGAGCGGGCAGCAAAGGAGAGGGAAUCUUUUUUAGCUGACAGCUAAGAGCUGAAAGCUGAGUGCUGUUGUUAACCUAGUGGCGGACGGGUGAGUAACACGUAGGCAACCUACCCUCAAGCGGGGGACAACAUCGGGAAACCGGUGCUAAUACCGCAUAAGACCACGAACUGGGAUGUUUGUGGUAAAAGGAGCAAUUCACUUGAGGAGGGGCCUGCGGCCUAUCAGGUAGUUGGCGGGGUAACGGCCCACCAAGCCUAAGACGGGUAGCCGGACUGAGAGGUUGAACGGCCACACUGGAACUGAGACACGGUCCAGACUCCUACGGGAGGCAGCAGUGGGGAAUUUUGCGCAAUGGGGGAAACCCUGACGCAGCGACGCCGCGUGAAGGAUGAAGGUCUUCGGAUUGUAAACUUCUUUUGUUGGGGACGAUAAUGACGGUACCCGAUGAAUAAGCCACGGCUAACUCUGUGCCAGCAGCCGCGGUAAGACAGAGGUGGCAAGCGUUGUUCGGAAUUACUGGGCUUAAAGGGCGCGUAGGUGUCCCGGCAAGUCAGAUGUGGAAUCUCUCCGCUUAACGGGGAAAUUGCAUCUGAAACUUUCGGGAUUGAGUAAGCGAGGGGAUGGC